rnacentral:lncRNA from 1 species
GUUCUCUAAUUAAUGUUUACAUUUAAAUACUUAUAAAAUCAUUUAAAUACUUAUAAAAACACCUAUUGUUCAUAUAAACAUCUAUUGAAAUAUUUUUGUUGGCAUUCAAAGAAUAGGUAACAUAUUAUAAAAUGUUUGCAUUCGAGGAAGUAAAGACACCCCGUGUAAGGGGUGUCAUCCCGAAUUUCCAGAAGAAAAAACGUCGAAUACCGAAAUGCCGAAAAAAAGCAUUUGUUUCCCCGAAUUCCGAAAAGUUUAUAAUAUAUUCCCGAGUUCAAAUUCGUGUAAAUCCCUAGUUCACACAAAAAUAUAGGUCUAACCGAACGUUCGGAAAAGGUCUGUUCUAGAGUUCAGUUUAAUUUUCAGAAAUUAAAAUCAUACAAAAAUGUUUCACACAAAUAUUCGCCUCCAGACACGUAAAUUGAUAUAAGUUACUAGCUGGUCUGGAUUGUGAUAGAAAAUAGCCAAUGUAAUGCAUAGAAUAUCUCAUGUCAUGGAUGGACUGUCUUACUCUAUAGGGAUGCUUAUGCGGCACAUUAAAUAUAAGUUUACCAAUUGUACUUCAGAAUUACCAAAAAAACUUAAAUUCACUCGAAUACAUUGAUCAGCUAUUUUGUCGACUUAAAACCCUGCCAAUCAGAUGGCUUAUAUUCUAAGACGAGACCUUAAUAAAAUUUGAAAUAUAUUUCACGGGAACUAAGAUUUUGUAGGAAAAUUG